rnacentral:rRNA from 1 species
AGAGUUUGAUCAUGGCUCAGAUUGAACGCUGGCGGCACGCCUAACACAUGCAAGUCGAGCGGUAACAUGAUUUGUAGCAAUACAGAUUGAUGACGAGCGGCGGACGGGUGAGGAACACGUAGGAACCUACCCUCAAGCGGGGGACAACCAAGGGAAACUUUGGCUAAUACCGCAUAAACUCGGAAGAGAAAAGUUGCCGCAAGGUGACACUUGAGGAAGGGCCUGCGUCCGAUUAGCUAGUUGGUGAGGUAAAAGCUCACCAAGGCGAUGAUCGGUAACUGGUCUGAGAGGACGGCCAGUCACACUGGGACUGAGACACGGCCCAGACUCCUACGGGAGGCAGCAGUGGGGAAUCUUGGACAAUGGGGGCAACCCUGAUCCAGCGAUGCCGCGUGGGUGAAGAAGGCCUUCGGGUUGUAAAGCCCUUUAGGUUGGGACGAAGUGUGGUGGAGGAUAAUGCCAUCAUAUUGACGGUACCGACAGAAUAAGCACCGGCAAACUCUGUGCCAGCAGCCGCGGUAAUACAGAGGGUGCGAGCGUUAAUCGGAGUUACUGGGCGUAAAGGGCGCGUAGGCGGUAAGAUGUGUGUGAUGUGAAAGCCCCGGGCUUAACCUGGGAAGAGCAUCGCAAACUAUCUAACUGGAGUAUAUGAGAGGGUGGCGGAAUUUCCGGUGUAGCGGUGAAAUGCGUAGAGAUCGGAAGGAACGUCGAUGGCGAAGGCAGCCACCUGGCAUAAUACUGACGCUGAAGUGCGAAAGCGUGGGGAGCGAACAGGAUUAGAUACCCUGGUAGUCCACGCUGUAAACGAUGAGAACUAGAUGUUGGAAGGGGAACCUUUCAGUAUCGAAGCUAACGCGAUAAGUUCU